AUUUUAAUUAUUAUUAUUCAAUAAUAAAAAUAUAAAAAGAAACAUUUUGACAGAAAUACCCAAAAAAAAAAAAAAACGAACAACAAUAGUUAAGCUGAGGGUCAACAAUUCUUCUUAUUGGUAAAGCACGUUUCAGCUAUGGCAACAACCCGAAGGAUCAUAAGGAUUGCUGCAGGUCCUCGACCCUGAGUCCAGUGGAAAGGUAAUUGCCGUGACGUUAGGUUAAGUAUAUGUAAGAUCUAUGCAAUGUAUUAUAAACACCACCGGAACAGUUUAAUGUAAAUAUUGUUUAGUUAACUAACAUUCAUGAUUCAUUGCAAGAACACUAAUCGCAAAUCUUUGUGACAAAAACUCGAUCAUUUAAUUUUAUUAUUUCGAAAAAACUCAUGCUAUCAUCUAUUUAAACAACAAUCAAUACAUUGUAAAAGCCAAAACUUAGUUUUAUAAUAAUCAAUAUACAUAUAACAAACAAUGCAAACAUAAACAAAAACAAAUUGAAAUAUCAUAGUGAAAUAUCUAUUGAUAUAUUUAUAUUCAAAGUGGUAAAAUUUCACAUCAGGUCGCAAUUGCUCUUGAUGUCAUAUUCAGAUUCAAACAAAAGUAAAUUUUACGCAAAAAAAUUCUGAUGUCACGCGCAGUUUGUCAACAAAACCAGCUGAAAGAAAUUUAAAAAACCCAUGUCCUUCCUUUACAAUUUUCUCAUAACAGCCAUAAAACAAAAUAAAUAUUAAACAAACACAAAAAAGUAUAUAUCAAGCAAACCUGACAAAAAGCGGAUGCUGCGUGUAUGUAUAAAAAAUAUUAUCCACAAUUUCGGCAUGAUUUCUCUAUUUAUUCCUGCUACCUACUUCCAAUUCCACUAUCACUAUUAGAAACAAUACUCAAAAAUAUUGUCAAUCCUACAAUUAUAAACAUAUAUAUAUUUUUCAUUACUCUGCACCUAGAUUUGCAUUUAUCUAUCAUUUAUAAUGCAUGCGAAAAUCACCUCACUUAUAUCCUAUUUAGCCAAUUAACAUUAUGAGAAAAAACUAAUACCAAAUAAAUUACUUUUCCUAUGCUUUAUGGCAUGCGGUGAGCGGCAAGAGGAUUAAGGAUGGCUUUAACUAACUACUAAUACGAGAAGAGAGGAAACAAUAAUCUUCAAAUACUAUAGUCUAUAAAUGAUUUGUUUUACAAUUUAACAACUAACAAAAACUGUGCAUUAAUAUAAAUAAAUUUUAUAACG